rnacentral:tRNA from 2 species
GGGCCGUUAGCUCAGUCGGUAGAGCAGUGGAUUUUUAAUCCAUUGGUCGAAGGUUCGAAUCCUUCACGGCCCACCA